AUCACUUCUUGGCCUUUUGGCUAAGAUCAAGUGUAACAUAUGAUCUAGGAACUAAUUAGCAAGAAAUGUUUGUCAAUGUAGUAAGUGAAAUCACCACCC
rnacentral:sRNA from 1 species